CACACAAUUACACAUACAUAUAAUGCUGGUAAGUAGAUUGUCAGAGCCAUGAACCAAGGGAAAUUUGAUAUUAACAGAGCAGAAAUGUCAAGAUUCAACGCCAACAUUCUGGGAAUCAGCAAAUUGAAACGGACUGGAAUAGGUCAUUUCUCAUGAAAGGAUAAUCAGCUCUAUUACUGUGGACAGGAAUCAUAGAAUAAAUGGAGAAAUCAUCAUUAUUAACAGAGGAAUGCUAAAGUCAGCACUUGAACAUCACCUGAAAAAUAACAAGAUGACCUACAUUUGAGUCCAAGGCAAAUGUUUCAGUGUUGUAGUGAUGUGGUCCAUGCUUGGAUUCAGAUACAGAGGAAGAUAUUGAAGAGUUAUACAGGGCAAGACAACCAAUUUAGAAAACUCCAAACCCAAACUACAAGUAAAACCAAUUCAUUC